GUAGGAAUAGCUCAGUUGGUUCAGAGUAUCAGUUUGUGGAUCUGAGGGUCGAGAGUUCAAGUCUCUCUUUUUACC
rnacentral:tRNA from 1 species